rnacentral:lncRNA from 1 species
CCUCAGUGUGCCAAAAAUAGGCCGCGGGCACAGCCGCGCCCAAAAAUAACAGCCCGAAGGCCGGGGCGCCAAGUUAGUCCAGCGGAAAAAGGCCACAAAAACGGGUGGGCUAUAGCCUUGGGGGGUGGGGCUGGCCAACUUCGUCCGCCGGACUCGGAAUGCCGCGAGACUAUGUGAGGGGCCUCCGUGUGCCAAGACUAGGCCGCGGUCAAAGCCGCGCCCAAAAAUAACCGCCCGAAGACCGGGGCGCCAACUUCGUCCAGCGGAAAAAGGCCACAAAAACGGGUGGGCUAUAGCCUUGGGGGGUGGAGCUGGCCCACUUCGUCCGCCGGGAUCGGAAUGCCGCGAGACUUUACGAGGGGCCGCCGUGUGCCAAAAAUAGGCCGUGGGCAAAGCCGCGCCCAAAAAUAACCGCCCGAAGGCCGGGGCGCCAAGUUCAUCCAGCGGUAAAAGGCCUCAAAAACGGGUGGGCUAUAGCCUUGGGGGGUGGGGCUGGCCGACAUUGUCCGCCGGACUCGAAAUGCCGCGAGACAUUGUGAGGGGCCUCCGUGUGCCAAAAAUAGGCCGCGGGCAAAUCCUCGCCCAAAAAUAACUGCCCGAAGGCCGGGGCGCCAAGUUCGUCCAGCGGAAAAAGGCCACAAAAACGGGUGGGCUAUAGCCUUGGGGGGUGGGGCUGGCCCACUUCGUCCGCCGGCCUCGGAAUGCCACGAGACUUUACGAGGGGCCUCCGUGUGCUAAAAAUAGGCCGUGGAUAAAGCCACGCCCUAAAAUAACUGCACGAAGGCUGGGGCGCCAAGUUCGUCCAGCGGAAAAAGGCCACAAAAACGGGUGGGCUAUAGCCUUGGGGGGUGGGGCUGGCCAACCUCGUCCGCCGGACUCGGAAUGCCGCGAGGCUUUGCGAGGGGCCUCCGUGUGCCAAGACUAGGCCGCAGGCAAAGCCACGCCCAAAAAUAACUGCCCGAAGGCCGGGGCGCCAAGUUCGUCCAGCGGAAAAAGGCCACAAAAACGGGUGGGCUAUAGCCUUGGGGGGUGGGGCUGGCCCACUUCGUCCGCCGGGCUCGGAAUGCCGCGAGACUUUGUGAGGGGCCUCCGUGUGCCAAAAAUAGGCCGCGGGCAAAGCCGCGCCCAAAAAUAAAUGCCCGAAGGCCGGGGCGCCAACUUUGUCCAGCGGUAAAAGGCCACAAAAACGGGUGGGCUAUAGCCUUGGGGGGUGGGCUUGGCCAACUUCGUCCGCCGGACUCGAAAUGCCGCGAGAUAUUGCGAGGGGCCUCCGUGUGCCAAAAAUAGGCC